rnacentral:misc_RNA from 1 species
UCCGGUUUGUCACCGGCGGUCUCCUUAGAGUUCCCACCAUUACGUGCUGGCAACUAAGAUCAAGGGUUGCGCUCGUUGCGGGACUUAACCCAACAUCUCACGACACGAGCUGACGACAACUAUGCACCACCUAUCACCACUGUCCCCGAAGGGAAAGGUAUAUCUCUAUACCGGGCAGUGGGAUGUCAAGACCUGGUAAGGUUCUUCGCGUUGCUUCGAAUUAAACCACAUGCUCCACCGCUUGUGCGGGCCCCCGUCAAUUCCUUUGAGUUUCAGUCUUGCGACCGUACUCCCCAGGCGGAGUGCUUAACGCGUUGGCUGCGGCACAGAGGGAUUCGACUCCGCCCACACCUAGUGUUCAUCGUUUACGGCGUGGACUAC